rnacentral:rRNA from 1 species
UACGGAGGGAGCUAGCGUUGUUCGGAAUUACUGGGCGUAAAGCGCACGUAGGCGCUCAGCAAGUCAGGGGUGAAAUCCCGGGGCUCAACCCCGGAACUGCCCUUGAAACUGCUAAGCUAGAAUCUUGGAGAGGCGAGUGGAAUUCCAGGUGUAGCGGUGAAAUGACGUAGAUAUCUGGAGGAACACCGGUGGCGAAGGCGGCAUCCUGGACCAAUAUUGACGCUGAGGAGCGAAAGCCAGGGGAGCAAAGCGGG